GUCAUUUUAUUCAAGGCAAGCUGAGUCCAGCACAGCUACACUGCCCUUCCAGUCCUUUUCUCUGACACCCAGGGCCUUGGCAUUGGAGCCAGGUUAUCAGCCCAGAAAAGACUCUUUCUUGUGAUCUAGAAGAAAGGAUCUGAGUGACAGGCUUAGGUGCGUUGUCUGCGUCCCAGGAACAGAGCAAAGCACACUGGCUCAGGCAUGAGGAAGCCACACCCCAAUCCUGCCUUUCAGGUGCCAAUGGAGAACAACCCCUUCAGCGGAACCAUGGUGCUUUACAUCUCUCUCUGAACUCUCAGAUCUCCUAAGUGGAGAUGGCUGAUUAAGGCUCUUAUCUUUCACGUUCUAAAAUCAAUUUAGUGUUGUUCGGAGCCAGCAAUGUUAAAAUAUAUUUGUAUUUUGAAACAAAGUUAACAUAGAGAAAUGAAAAAUAAAAUGUUGAGAAUUUUACAUUUAAUUGCAGAUAUAAUUCUGUGUUCUGUAUGUUACUUAGUUUUCUAUCUUAAAUAGUUUGAAGGUAAACACUUCUUUUAC
rnacentral:lncRNA from 1 species